rfam:Cetobacterium somerae ATCC BAA-474 genomic scaffold Scaffold68, whole genome shotgun sequence.
GAGUAUAUUCAUAUUAAUGUUAAAUAAUAUAACAGGACACUUAGAUAAGGAAAUGAGGUUUGAUUCCUCUACGGCCCCGCCACUGUAAUUUGGACGAAAGUAUUUUAUACCACUGGAUUUAUUUCUGGGAAGGUUUACGAGUAGAAUGAAAAGAGUCAGGAUAUUUAUCUCUAGUGAAUUAUCUUC